GUAAGACAUCGAUGAAAUUAGGGUUUUUCGGAAAGUCAAAUGAUCAUCAUUCGAAAUCAUUCUCUCAUCGUUCUUUGAAUCAUCAUCAUCAAAAUCCAAAAUCUUCAUCUCUAUUUGCUCUUCCAAAGUCUCAUAAAACUAGCUCGACCGACUUAAGUCUCCGGCAAGGCAAGCAACCGAGACGUUUAUUCCGAAGCCGGUCUGAACCGGGUAGGAAGGGUUCAACUAAUGUAAGUGAACCGGGUUCACCUAAAGUUUCUUGUACUGGAAGAGUUAGGUCAAAGAAAGACAGAGGUGUAAGAACCGG
rnacentral:misc_RNA from 1 species